rnacentral:rRNA from 1 species
AGCGAACGCUGGCGGCAGGCCUAACACAUGCAAGUCGAACGAACCUUUCGGGGUUAGUGGCGGACGGGUGAGUAACACGUGGGAACGUGCCUUUAGGUUCGGAAUAACUCAGGGAAACUUGUGCUAAUACCGAAUGUGCCCUUCGGGGGAAAGAUUUAUCGCCUUUCGAGCGGCCCGCGUCUGAUUAGCUAGUUGGUUGAGGUAAUGGCUCACCAAGGCGACGAUCAGUAGCUGGUCUGAGAGGAUGAUCAGCCACAUUGGGACUGAGACACGGCCCAAACUCCUACGGGAAGCAGCAGUGGGGAAUCUUGCGCAAUGGGCGAAAGCCUGACGCAGCCAUGCCGCGUGAAUGAUGAAGGUCUUAGGAUUGUAAAAUUCUUUCACCGGGGACGAUAAUGACGGUACCCGGAGAAGAAGCCCCGGCUAACUUCGUG